AUUUCAAAAUGGAUUUGGAGUAUGUAUGUUUAUUCAUUUUUGCCACGAGAUUCAUAUACGUGUUCACAGAAUGUCCAGCUGGUUAUCAUGGUUUAAAUUGUUCAGAACCCUGCAGACAUCCGAACUAUGGAAUUUUAUAUCAACAUAUCUGCAAUUGCACAGAUGAAUUGUGUAACCACAUCACAGGGUGUUUUCAGGUUGAAGAAUGCUUAGAUGGAUACUACGGGAAGGACUGUAUUUCUCCGUGUAGAUACCCGAACUAUGGACACAGAUGUCUAUUUCAAUGCAACUGUAACAUUACAAAUUGUAAUCACAAAAUAGGAUGCAAAACAGGUAAUGUUAACGAUCAAAAUCAUAAAAUGAAUAUCGAUAUUUUAUUUAUAUAUAUGCAUAAUAUCCGGAG